CGCACAUUGCGCCCCUUGGUAUUCCAUGGGGCAUGCCUGUUCGAGCGUCAUUUGAACCCUCAAGCUUUGCUUGGUGUUGGGUGUUUGUCUCGCCCUUGCGUGUAGACUCGCCUUAAAGUAAUUGGCAGCCUGGUAAUUCGGCUUUGAGCGCAGCACAUUGCGUAUUCUCGGCUGGUUCGUUGGCAUCCAAAAGACCUUUUUUACGCUUGACCUCGGAUCAGGUAGGGAUACCCGCUGAACUUAA
rnacentral:misc_RNA from 1 species